GGGUUAGGCAAUUCUUUCAUUUGGUUCUAUUCCAUGCGUGAUGUGUUCGAGUCCUGUCAAUGUUAGGUUCCCUUUGUUUUUGUGAUUGUCAAAUGUUUUGUUCUUUCUCUUUGUUCAUUUUUUUUUUUUGGCUCAGGUGUUUGUUUUGUUUGGUGGUGUAUAGCGUGCACGCUGGUUUUUCUGGUUUUUUUUGGUCAGGCGUUUGUUUUGUUUGAUGGUGUUCAGUGUUUUUUCAAUUUAUUUUUGGUUUGUUUUACAUUUUCGUGGCAGAGCAGAGGAAGAGACAGAACAGAGGCAGAGUCAGAGGCAGAGCAACGAAGGGCAAUUUCUUCUUCCAGUCAGGUCUUCUUGUAGGGCGUGGCCGUGCCCUAACAGCUUAUUACCAACCAAGGGGAGGAAGCAACGGAAAGGGCAGUCGAUUCAUUAGUCGAAGUUCCAGUUCCUUCAAUUGAUUCCGAACCAGCAGUUUCAGUUGUACCAACGCCAGCGUCAGAACAAGCAUAAGCACAAAAGGUUACCAGACUGUGGAAUCAACAUUUGAAUUUGCACGCGUUUGUAGGAAGCUGGAUUUCCACAACUUUGUCUUCUGAAUGAAAGAAAGCAACCCUGUAAUCGUGGUCCAGGCAUACCGUUUGCUUGUUGCAGAGAUGAAUGUCCUAGGAUGGGAUUAUCCAUUGCAUUUGGGAGUUACUGAAGCUGGUGAAGGUGAAGAUGGGCGAAUGAAAUCGCAAUUGGCAUUGGAACACUGUUACAGGAUGGUUUGGGUGAUACAAUUCAGGUUUCCCUUACAGAACCUCCAGAAGAGGAGAUAGAUCCAUGCCGAAGACUUGCAAAUCUUGGGAUGCAAGCUGCCAAGCUUGAGAAAGGAGUGGUAAGGCUCCUUUUGAGGAGAAGCACCACCACUAUUUUAAUUUCCAACGCAGAACCAGCCAACUUCCCAUACAGAAGGAGGGUGACAGAUUGCAAGCUCACAACCCUUCUUGUUCCAGCCAAAAAACUGCAGUUUAAUAAGAAGUAUACUAAGCAGCUUUUUGAACUAGUUCAUGGUGUAUUCAAAAUAAGAAGAGAUAGAAUUAGGUUUGCAUCAUUUCUUUAGUUAUAUUUUGAUCAAGCAUAUUGACUUGAUAGCAUUGUAACAUGUACAAAUAUAGUGUUUAAUAAAAAAAUUAUUGGAAGGGGUUAUAACCCCUUCUAAAGACUAAAGGGAAUAGUCACUGGCCAUGGUUAUUCCUUGAGGUCGUGUUUUCUCACACCUUAAAGAAUGGUCAAUUGGCCAAGGUCAUUCUUUAAGGUUUGUGUCUC